AUGGAGGGCCCUGGCACGCUUCGACCCCCGAUGCACUACUACACGGGGAGGGAAGUGGUGUCGUCGCAUGGAGAGGGCAUUUCCUAUGGAUGCUUCGCGGAGCACCCUCGUCCAGUCCGGCGACCGCCCCACCGGCGCGCGCGCAUAGUCACGCGGGCAGCACACGCCGCGAGAUCGACCGAAGCGACCAAAAAGUGCGCGCGCAUGGAAAACUUGAAACCCAACGCGUUUGUUGAGGCCCUCAAAGUCGUCGGCAAGGCGUUCGUCGUCUGGAGCAGUAACUGGAGACGCCUGCUCCCCGUCAUCGUCGGGGUGUUUCUGCUCGACCUGGCUCUGACGGUCGUGUGGGUGAAUCUGGCAAGCCUGCACCUCAAUCUUGAUUCCAUGGGGCUCUUCUUCGAAAUGGCCGACAACUCGACCACCAUGGCCGCGGGAGCCGUGGUCGUGACUCGUGUGGACGAGGGGACGGAGGCCUCGUCCUCGCGGCAACUCAUCGAAAUCGUAGGGGAAAUCUUCUUCGGAUUAUCAACAGCUGUGGCCCUCCUUUCCUUCUCCUGUACAUGUAACUGUGAUCUUUCAGGAUUUGGCUACUCAUCCGUCUUCACCACUAGUGGAGAGGAGGCCACUCGGGAAGCCUGUGUCAUGUGUGGUCAUCAAGGAUGGAGCAGGGUGCGCGGGUGUUCACCUCCCCCUCGGUCGUUUGGGUGGCGCAGUGGCGGGAGAUGGUCAUUGGCUUGGCAUGCGGUUCUCUACUUCGAUGGGUCACAUCAUAUCUUAAGGUCGUGCCCCUCCUACCUUUCGAGCGCCAGCCUGCCGAGUGUGAUCCAAGCCUUUGGCCGCCGGGGGUUUGUCGUUGGUUGGGGUGCUGGAGGGGUGGCUAAAUCUGAGAGAAAUCUUUGGUUGGUGUUGCCAGCCACAAUCUUGAUGACUCCAGCGGGUGUCGUCUCCCUCCUUAUAGGCGCCAUCGAGGUACCUACCCCUUCCUCGUCCUCAGGUGAAAGAAUUUAUCUGUUAUGGAGUGGACGGCAACAUGCGUUCUCACCUUCUUCGAGGCAUCAUUUUGGGAUAGAAGGGUCUACAAGUCGAGGUGUUGUGGUUGAUGGACACCCGGUGGCGGUGUGGUUCGAGUUGCCGUCAAGGUCUUGCGAGUCGACAUGUUUCCGGCUCAAUUGCAACUCCUUUUGGUCAUUCGCGCUCGGUUUGUGUGGGCUUGCUCAUCAGCGGGCCAGUGCCCUAAAAUCUGGGCGAGGAGGAGAUAGGCCCCCCAACUGUAGCAACAUGGCUAUGGUAGUAUGGAGAUGGUGCCGAUCUCUACACACUCGAAUAUCUCUCGUAGCAAUGGAUGCAACAACUCAUAUCCAUUGUGCCUUCUUCUUCGAGGUUCUCAUCCUUAGCAACGUUUACUCUUCUUAUGUGUGCUGUUUUGACAGUGUAAAUCCUAGCUAUGUAGAGGCCGUUUAUAAUAGGACUACUACUUUAGAAGGACAACACCCUUCUUUAUCGUCAUGGAGGCAAUGGAAGAGUUUGGGCAUUCAGUUGCUCACGGGGCUGGGCAUCACCAUCAUCAUAUCAGUACUUUUGGAAGCUCUUGAGCUGGACGACGACCUGUCCCUCUAUCUCACCAAUUUCUUCAAUGUCGUAUACAUGCUUGCCGCUGUUGUUGCUUCAAAAGAAGGCCUAUACGGGUUCUCUGCAGCCGAGAAGGCAUGGUUAAUCGUUAGCGAAAAGUUCUAUGAGAUAACUGUGGUGGGCGCGAUGAUUUUUGUCGUCCAGGGAAGUCUAGAAGAAGCCUACGCAAGUGCAAGAUUUUUACCUCGAAAGAAGGAAGUGGUGGUGGCGCUGGUGAUAAUGGAGGACACGGCGGCUGACAUCUUCCGGUACUCCGUCGCCGCAGCCUUUCUCACCGCCAUUCUGCAGGUAUUCCAGUGCUUGGUGACCUUGGCGGUUUACUGUGGUGGCGGACGCCCAACGGAUCGGCGGCCCCUCGGCAACGAUGUCAGCGGCGUGCCCGCGGCGACGCACGCGCAGCCGCUCCUUGAAGCAGAGGCAGCAAGGGCGGGCUCUGCUUCUGGCGGGAGCGACGCCAGCUCCAGUGCUGGAGGCCCGUCUCGCAGCCCAAACACGAGGACGGCACGGCCCAGGAGAAAGACCAGGCCUAACCCGAAAUACGAUCCGCGUGUGUGGCAGUUGUUGUGA
rnacentral:rRNA from 1 species